UACGUAGGCAGCGAGCGUUGUUCGGAGUUACUGGGCGUAAAGGGUGUGUAGGCGGUUUUUCUAAGUUUGGUGUGAAAUCUCCCGGCUCAACCGGGAGGGUGCGCCGAAAACUGGGAGACUAGAGUGCGGGAUGGGAGAGUAGAAUUCCUGGUGUAGCGGUGAAAUGCGCAGAUAUCAGGAGGAACACCGGUGGCGAAGGCGGGUCUCUGGGCCGAUACUGACGCUGAGGAGCGAAAGCGUGGGGAGCGAACAGG
rnacentral:rRNA from 1 species